rnacentral:rRNA from 1 species
UACAGAGGUCCCGAGCGUUGUUCGGAUUCAUUGGGCGUAAAGGGUGCGUAGGCGGCGGGGCAAGUCUGAUGUGAAAUCCCGGGGCUCAACCCCGGAACUGCAUUGGAUACUGCCCUGCUAGAGUACUGGAGAGGGAACUGGAAUUUACGGUGUAGCAGUGAAAUGCGUAGAGAUCGUAAGGAAGGCCAGUGGCGAAGGCGAGUACCUGGACAGUGACUGACGCUGAGGCACGAAGGCCAGGGGAGCAAACGGG